rnacentral:rRNA from 1 species
GAUGAACGCUGGCGGCGUGCCUAAUACAUGCAAGUCGAGCGAACAGACGAGUAUCUUGCUCCUCUGACGUUAGCGGCGGACGGGUGAGUAACACGUGGAUAACCUACCUAUAAGACUGGGAUAACUUCGGGAAACCGGAGCUAAUACCGGAUAAUAUAUUGAACCGCAUGGUUCAAUAGUGAAAGACGGUUUUGCUGUCACGUAUAGAUGGAUCCGCGCCGCAUUAGCGAGUUGGUAAGGUAACGGCUUACCAAGGCAACGAUGCGUAGCCGACCAGAGAGAGUGACAGUCCACACUCGAAGUGAGACACGGUCCAGACUCCUACGGGAGGAAGGCGUAGGGAAUCUCCCGAAAUGGGAGAAAGCAUGACGGAGCAACGCGGGAUGAGUGAUGAAGGUCUUCGGACGGUAAAACUCUGUUAUUAGGGAAGAACAACUGUGUAAGCAACUAUGGACGUAUUGACGGUACCUAAUCAGAAAGCAACGGCUAACUCCGUG